UUUACCCUGGAGUGUUUGUAGGCGGAUCUAUGUCCCUGAGCCGAUAAGCACAAAUUAGGGUUAGUACUUGUUUGCUAUUGAGCAUGCUCGGCUUGUACUGAGAAGCCUACGGUAAACUUUGCUGAUCCGCCUUGAACCUAGGGUUCAAGGGCUACGACCACUACGGCACUUUGGGGUAUUC
rnacentral:other from 15 species